UAAACCUUGUUUUGCUAUUUUAAAUUGUUAACUUUAGUUACAAUUCUGUCUUAGUCUAUGAAUUCAUUAUUUUAAUCAGUUAAUUAUAGUUGUUUUUGUAUAUUGAUUCAUAACUGACACCUGCGGCCUUUGCACUUUAUUUCUUUUUACAAAGUCGGAAAUAGUUGUUCCGUUGUUGGUUCUUGAGUUUAAAAUUUGUUUACUGCACAGCGAUGCAACAGUUAACUUUUAUAUCUGCAAUCGUCCCAAAUCUUUUGGACUGGACAUUGCAAAACGGGUCCUCACACUGCAAGCGAGUUAUAGAAUUCCCCCUAUACAAGCGUAGUCAAAAACACGACACGACAGUAUUAUGAGCAUUCAACAGUCUUAAGCAAAUUUUAUGAUCCGUUUUGAUCACCAAGGUAAUGAGCUAGAUUCUUUGAAACGAGAUGUACAUGGUCAACAUGGAAUCGAAAAUCGUUUGCAAGAGCAGGCAAACGACGUUACGUACGACGUAACUGAGUUAUCGGACAAUCAGCGUAAAAUGCACCGAGAGAUGGAACGAAAGCGCGACUACAUUAUCAGAUUGGAACAGAAAAUUCACAAAGCGGAAAGAUCAGUGAACUCUUAAUGAGAUCAAUGGAUUGCAAUAUUAUUGUAUCCGGUGUUGAAGAUAAGAGAGGUGAAAAUUUAGCAUUAACGCUAAACUCUGUGUUCAAGAAAGAGCUAUAAUUAACAGAAACACAGAUGAACGAUAUAAGAAUAUCGAAGUACUAUCGAAUGGGCCAAUUCAACGAUAAACAGAAGUCACCCAGACCAAUAUUUGUCCAAGUGUCGGACCCCAUACACGAAGAAGCGAUAACGAAGACCGUGUACAAGCUGAAGGAGAAGAAAUCCCCAGUACGGAUCAGCCAGCAACUACCCGAAGCGAAACGAGAACAUAGGAUCCGCCUAUACGAAAUCCAGUCACAGUACGCAAAGAAAAACAUUAUAACAGUGGUCAAGCGGGAUAGACUGGUUUUUCUAACGGCACAACAUACCGGGACAAAACGGGCGGACGACCACAAGCAGACGAGAUACUGGUGGCAGACGAGGACACAAAGGAUUACGCCUCCGGUGAUAUCAUCGAAGAUAACGGUAACCGUUUCGAAGCUCGAGCCGUACAGGUAAAGACACAACGAGAGGUAAGUAAAGAACUGGUUAAUUUGCUACGCCUACCCAAUGUGUCUACCGCAACACAUAAUGUGUAUGCCUAUCGUUUCGUGAACCAGGACGGUGUCAACCAAGAGGGAUCAGAGGAUAAUGACGAACACGGCGCGGGACGUACGCUCCUACGGACGCUUAGAAAAAAUAACGUGCAAAACGCUAUGGUACUCGCGUCCAGUUUCACGAUACGUUUUUUCGAAGCAAUUAGCAAUAUAUUAAUUUUUCUGAUUCCAUUCAGAAUCAGUUUUUUAUUGAAAUUAUCGGAACAAAUAUCGGUCUAACUAAUGUAGGUAAUUUCAAGUAAAUUUCUCCCACCGUUACCAAAUUAUGACAGUUUAACUUGUACCACUAAUUGGUCAUAUUUUACUAAGAAAUGGAGAGCAAUGCAAGCUAUUCCCCAAGGGAGAUCAAUCCUCAUAUUCUCCGGCUUAUCUGCUCCUAUUCGUAAUUGCUAGUGAUAUGAUGUUCAUUAUUAAUUAGCAGACCUGCUGUGCUAAUUUGGCAUUGAUUUAAGACAUAUUAGUUGUCUACAGUAAAAUUGUGCAAAAUCGGCCAUCUUGACCACAUCGGAUGACUACGUCAGGUACCAUUUUAUUUUCUUCAUUUUAGAAAAGAAUUGGACAAUGACAUUAAUGUAUUGAUGAGCGGUGAUAAGGAGAUGGACGUUGUGAAUGUUUUAGUGCAUUUUAUACAUAUAUUUCACAGUAUUUUUUUCGUAUUUACAAAAAGAACGUAACUAGUGUCUACACUGCAAUGUUAAUUUUAUUUUUUGUGAGGUUUAACAUCUAGGGUACGCAUUGGUUUCAUCGAUUUUCAGUUACUAUUAUAUGUUAUCUACAAUCUGUAAAAAUUCCAUCGUUUUUUGAUGUGUUGAUUUCUGUUGCUGAAUUUUACAAAAUUAUGUGGCAUGGGAUACCGACCUAAAAAAUUCGAAAUUCUCUUAUAACAGUAAAGAUACAUGCUAUUUUAAGUGAAUUUUAGUUUUAUCUUUUUAAUUUAAUUAUCAUUCAUAAGAAUGCAUUCAAUAUUGAACACAUUUAUGCAUGUUUCACAUUUUUAUAAUAACAUUGAAGUGGUAAAAUUUCAAAGACAGUUGUGAAAUUUGAGUUAUCUCCCUUUUCUCAUAGUCUGUUUCAAAUUGUUAUUUCAGAUUGUUGAUAUUGAAUUUGUUUACUAUAUAGUACAUCAUUGGAUUUGAUCACAGUAUUUACGAUACCCUUGUUUAUCCUGUGGACUUUUUCUGAUGUUCAUGUGCAUGUGAACAUUUAUACAGUUGUACAACUAUAUUAAGGUCCAGUAUUGGCAAGACGAUUGUGAAAGAGACGAAGAUUUAUAUGAAUUGACAGAGCAAGAAUUCAAAUCAGACUUAAGAGAAGGAAAUUUAUUCAUAAUAAAUAACACUGAUCUAGACCACUGCUACGGCAUACCUUGAAACAGACUAUAAAGGUGGAAUUGCUAGAGAUAGUAAGCUUAUUUGACAAAACUAAAAUCACCUUGCAAAGUUUUAUUUAGAACAUACUGGAUAAAAUAUUCAACGAGUUUGGAGGGCUUCAGUAUGGAUAUAAGAGCAAUUGUCGGAAUAGUAAUCGGCGGUGUUUUUGUCGUAGCGUCUUUGGUUGCCUGGAUAUAUGGUAAACUUUCGAAGAAGGCUUCCGUGCAACCAGAUGAACAGCGAUCGGCUCGGUCGGACGAGCAACAAUCCCCGUGAAAUUGUUGACGUUCAUAUUAUCAUAUAUGAAUAGAUCUCAAAAUUUAAUGCAUGUGUUUAUAGUAUAUCCAAGAAAUAAAAUAAGAAUAUGUUUGAACUUAUUUUUUUAACGCUAGAGAGGAUGAAUGAUGACAGAAAUUAUAAUGUGACGUAAUUACAGGGAAUAUGAUAUAAUGUAACUAUUAUUUCAAAGAUAUUUUUUCCAAUAUAAUCUGCAUGUAUGAGAAAUUAAAAACUAUAAUUUGUUC